AUAUCAGUCAUGCAUAGCAUAUCAAUAAGCGGAGGAAAAGAAACUAACAAGGAUUCCCUUAGUAACGGCGAGUGAAGCGGGAAGAGCUCAAAUUUGAAAUCUUCAAGGUUUUACCUUGACGAAUUGUAGUUUAAAGAAGUGUUUUCUGUUGAAGUUUUGGUAAAAGUUCUUUGGAAUAGGACAUCAUAGAGGGUGAGAAUCCCGUAUUUGACCAUUACUUUCAGCUUUGUGAUACACUUUCAAAGAGUCGGAUUAGUUUGGGAAUGCAGUCCAAAAUGGGUGGUAAAUUUCAUCUAAAGCUAAAUAUUGGCGAGAGACCGAUAGCGAACAAGUACCGUGAGGGAAAGAUGAAAAGAACUUUGAAAAGAGAGUUAAACAGUACGUGAAAUUGUCAAAAGGGAAGCGUUUGACACCAGUGUUGUUUUCUCGAAAAUCAAUUAAAAAGAGUUGGAUUUUGUGUUGUAUUGACUUUAUCAGCUUUCUUCACUCUUUUCCAGCUUUUUUUAAUGCACUUUUCGUUUAACAAGUCAACAUCAGUUUCUUUUGUUGUAAAAAGGUCAUUGGAAGGUGGCUUUCUCUUCGGAGAAAGUGUUUAUAGCCUUUGACUCAUGCAAUCGGAGAGACUGAGGUCUGCAGCGUAGAUCCUUCGGGGUUAGAUACAUUUGUGCUAAGUUAUAGCUUUUCAUAGACAACUUGUUGACUAUGUUUAGUCUUGUAGCUUACUCGCUUAUGCUAUUUUACCUACGCUUAGGAUGUUGAACUCUAUCACACACAG
rnacentral:rRNA from 1 species